GUGGGGAAUUUUGGACAAUGGGCGCAAGCCUGAUCCAGCAAUGCCGCGUGUGUGAAGAAGGCCUUCGGGUUGUAAAGCACUUUUGGUAGGAAAGAAAUAGUGCGUGCUAAUACCAUGCGCGAAUGACGGUACCUGCAGAAUAAGCACCGGCUAACUACGUGCCAGCAGCCGCGGUAAGACGUAGGGUGCAAGCGUUAAUCGGAAUUACUGGGCGUAAAGCGUGCGCAGGCGGUUUUGUAAGACAGGUGUGAAAUCCCCGGGCUCAACCUGGGAACUGCACUUGUGACUGCAAGGCUAGAGUGUGUCAGAGGGAGGUGGAAUUCCGCGUGUAGCAGUGAAAUGCGUAGAGAUGCGGAGGAACACCGAUGGCGAAGGCAGCCUCCUGGGAUAACACUGACGCUCAGGCACGAAAGCGUGGGGAGCAAACAGGAUUAGAUACCCGUGUAGUCC
rnacentral:rRNA from 1 species